rnacentral:tRNA from 1 species
AUGACUUAAUUUUAUUUGAUUUGAAAUCAAAAUUUAGGAUAGAAUCCUUAAGUCUUU